rnacentral:tRNA from 1 species
GAGGGUAGAGCUCAGUGGUAGAGCAUGUGCUUAGCAUGCACGAGGUCCUGGGUUCAAACCUCAGUACCGCCA